rnacentral:snRNA from 1 species
ACACUUACCGGGGGAGAGGCUGUGAUCAUGAAUGUGGUUUCCCAGGGCGAACCCAUCCGCUGCACCUCGAUGAGGCUGAUGCCUGCGAUGUCCCCAAAUGGGGAAGCUCGGCUGCAUAAUUUGUGAAGGGGGGGGACUGCAUUCGCGCGUUCCCUGG